GAACGCGAAGAACCUUACCAAGUCUUGACAUCCUUUGACCACUCUAGAGAUAGAGCUUUCCCUUCGGGGACAAAGUGACAGGUGGUGCUUGGUUGUCGUCAGCUCGUGUCGUGAGAUGUUGGGUUAAGUCCCGCAACGAGCGCAACCCUUAUUACUAGUUGCCAGCAUUAAGUUGGGCACUCUAGUGAGACUGCCGGUGACAAACCGGAGGAAGGUGGGGAUGACGUCAAAUCAUCAUGCCCCUUAUGACUUGGGCUACACACGUGCUACAAUGGAUGGUACAACGAGCAGCGAACUCGCGAGGGUAAGCGAAUCUCUUAAAGCCAUUCUCAGUUCGGAUUGUAGGCUGCAACUCGCCUACAUGAAGCCGGAAUCGCUAGUAAUCGCGGAUCAGCACGCCGCGGUGAAUACGUUCCCGGGUCUUGUACACACC
rnacentral:rRNA from 1 species